AGUGAACGCUGGCGGUAGGCCUAACACAUGCAAGUCGAACGGCAGCACAGUAAGAGCUUGCUCUUACGGGUGGCGAGUGGCGGACGGGUGAGGAAUACAUCGGAAUCUACUUUUUCGUGGGGGAUAACGUAGGGAAACUUACGCUAAUACCGCAUACGACCUACGGGUGAAAGCGGGGGAUCUUCGGACCUUGCGCGAUUGAAUGAGCCGAUGUCGGAUUAGCUAGUUGGCGGGGUAAAGGCCCACCAAGGCGACGAUCCGUAGCUGGUCUGAGAGGAUGAUCAGCCACACUGGAACUGAGACACGGUCCAGACUCCUACGGGAGGCAGCAGUGGGGAAUAUUGGACAAUGGGCGCAAGCCUGAUCCAGCCAUACCGCGUGGGUGAAGAAGGCCUUCGGGCUGUAAAGCCCUUUUGUUGGGAAAGAAAAGCAGCAGGUUAAUACCCCGCUGUUCUGACGGUACCCAAAGAAUAAGCACCGGCUAACUUCGUG
rnacentral:rRNA from 1 species